UGGGGAAUUUUGGACAAUGGGGGCAACCCUGAUCCAGCCAUUCCGCGUGAGUGAAGAAGGCCUUCGGGUUGUAAAGCUCUUUUGUCCGGAACGAAACGGUUAGGUCUAAUAGGCCUGACUACUGACGGUACCGGAAGAAUAAGCACCGGCUAACUACGUGCCAGCAGCCGCGGUAAUACGUAGGGUGCGAGCGUUAAUCGGAAUUACUGGGCGUAAAGCGUGCGCAGGCGGUUUUGUAAGCCAGAUGUGAAAGCCCCGGGCUUAACCUGGGAAUGGCAUUUGGGACUGCAAGGCUGGAGUUUGGCAGAGGAGACUGGAAUUCCUGGUGUAGCAGUGAAAUGCGUAGAUAUCAGGAGGAAUACUGAUGGCGAAGGCAGGUCUCUGGGCUAUAACUGACGCUCAUGCACGAAAGCGUGGGGAGCAAACAGGAUUAGAUACCCUUGUAGUCCCUGAGCGGGCUGGCAAGGCGCAU
rnacentral:rRNA from 1 species